rnacentral:lncRNA from 1 species
UUUAAUACUAAUUGUCAAGAGCUAUGGAGACUACAUAUGGUAGCAACCAAUCCUUUGAGAUGUAAGAACGGUUUACCUAUCGUGUUCUAGCUAGCUACAGAAUGGCUUCACUCCCUCUCCUCAAUCAGAUGUUCAAAUGAAAGCACAUGCAAGAAAAAAGAAAAGCAAACAGAAAAAAAACAAGUGUGGACAGGCCCUUCUGUAGACCAAAUGCUCACAAAGUUAGUCCACAUACUUUGCAACUUAUGUAAUCUUAGUUGGAUAGUUCACCUGUGGGGACUUCUAUUCAAAGAGUGGUAUAAUAAGGUACUGUCACUUCUGUAAUGCAUCUUUUGAAAUGUGUUGUCAAAUGAAUAAUUGUUUGGCAAACCUCCUGAAAAGAUAAUAUGCUCAAAAAUGUCACUUUUUUUCCCCACAGAGUUUGAUAAAACCCUUGAUGUUUGCCUUUAUUGAUUCAAUUUAGUCAAACUUUGCACACACCCCUUUUCAUUGAUUAAGUUUUCAAUAGAGAAUGUUACAGCUGGUAAUCAAUGGUUGUAAUUUAGAAAUUAUUUAUACUUCAGGUGUUUAACUUGAAGCAUUGUUGCCAUCUGUACUGUCACUGGGUAUGGUAUGGUAAAGCAUAUACACUUUAUUGUGUAUAAUAUUGUCAGAAGAAAAUUCAAAGAAACUUUGGUUGUUUGGUAAGUGGGAGGAGGCUGUUGGGGCCCUGAGGGCACUAAUGGGCUUCAGCUGCUGUGAGCAGCCUCACCUGUGCAGCCCUGCCCAUGGCACAGGUGCAUCAAUUAAGCUCGGAGCUUUGCCAGGGCUCUGCUAUUCUAUACCUUUCUCCACCCAUCUCCCCAGCUGAUUGGUUGAAUGGCUUUGCAUUUCUUGGGUCAGUUAGAGGUCUGGAUCAUUCCUUUGAUGCAUCUGUUGAGCACUGGAUUGCUGGUGGUCCUGCUGUGUUACCUCCACUCAGAGGCAAGAGAUGCACACAGCUUCACUUCUGGUAUCCUUGCUUGCUCAUCUAGCCAUUGUCAAGGCAGCUGUCAUCCGGGAGCCCUGGAGCUGCAAUGCAGAAGUAAGUAUCACUACCUUCAAUUUUACAGAUCAGAAAACUGAAACAGAAAUGUAAAAUGAAUCACUUCAGAUCUACUUUUCUUGUGGUGCCAUCAUUUAUAAUGUUCAGCUCUGAUCCGCACAAGUUUAUCUAUUUGACCCUAGUGCUUUUCUGCCCUUUUGGGGGGCAUUUCUUUGAUCACUGUCAGCGUAUAUCCUCUGACAGAGCCCUGUUAGAUUUGCACAGUGGGGAGAUAAAACAAUGAGUGUGUAAGUACAGACAUGUAGCUCAUCACAAUGACAUGGCAGUAAUGCACUGAGUUCAGCUCACCCUGGAAGAUGGUCUGAUCCUUGAUAGAUUUAUCACAGCCAAAGACGUGAUUACCAAUCCCACUGCAGAUUUCUUCUAAGUUACUACUUUUCUUAAAGGCACAACGUGUCCCAAUACUUUCUGUUAGAAUUGUGAAUACUUUUGUUUCUUCUUGAAGACCCAAUGGAUUUUUUUCCAUAAACAUUUCUGAAGCCCUUUGAUUCUGGGAGGCCAUUCCAGCACAUAUAAUUUUCUCAAAAUCUUAAUCACUUUACAAAAGCAGUUUUUCUACAUCUCUGUGCCCAGAGACACUGCUGAUGCCCCAUCCCUGCAGGAGGGUUGGAACUAGGUGAUCUUCAAGCUCUCUUCCAACCCAAGCCAUUCUGUGUUUCUGCAAUAUUGUGCAGUUGCAAAUAUUCCUGUUGAAUGCUUAAUUCUCUGUAGUAUUCCAACUUAGAUUUCAUCAAAGCGAGUAGAAAAAUUGAAGUUAAGUUCCUGUUACACAUAAAAGUGAAGAACAUAAGGGUUUUUAAAAAGAACAUAUGGAUACAAAUGUACAUAUUUAAACAAACAUGUUCCAAUCAGCUCAGAUUUUUCUUUUCUUUCUCGUGUGAUCAAAAUGUGAUAAGACACGGUGGAUACUGAAGUCCCUACAGGGCCAGAUCUGAGUCUUGCAAAAGAUGUUAGGAAAAUUUCCAGUGAUUUCUCUGAGUCUCAGACCAGAUCUUUGUUGUUGCGAAAACAUCGGUGAACAACAAUUCAUCUAUGUGCAAAACUCCUGUAUAUAGUUCCAGAUGCCAAAAAUUCUCUAUGCAAUUUCAAUUCUAUUUUGAAUGUGUACUUCUUCCGCUAAAUGACUUAUUACCUAUGCAAAAUAACCUUAACAAAAUGCAAGAAAUGUACAACCAGGACAGUGAAUCUGUAGAGAUGAGAACAUGAACAGAAAAUUUGCCAUGGAAAUGAACAUUGAUUUUUAUGCUUUCUAUUUUUUUUCUGAUGCAGUUCUCAGAGAAUAAAUAGGAGACUCAGUUUUAAAGGGAACGGUGCUAGUCAGCUUAUACACCGCUUUCUGAGAUCCUUCUCUCAAUGUAUAGGGAAAUAAUUCAGUUACUAAGUACCUUAGUGUCUCCAGAGUUACAGCAGCUAUGUGAGAUGAGAAUCUGUUCCUGCAGUAUGUCUUUAAUAUCAAACAUUCAGACAAUUCAAGAUUUUAGCACUGGAAUAUCCAAAUCUCAUAAAGAUGAGUAAUGCUAUGAUUGCAGAUGUCUUCUGUGGUGUUCGUGUGCUGCUUGUUUGUGGAGAAGGAUCAUUUUUAUACCUUAAGAAAGAAUAGCCAUCUCCCUGAGGUACCUUCUAAUGAUGCCACAAGCGCAUUGCAAUACGUAGUUAAUGGCAGCUUUGUAUUGAUAAUGGACUUCUAUGAAUCAUGAGGAGCAUUAAAAAGAAAACACUUUCUUAUCUGUAUGUUCAGAUGCUUUCUAAUUGCUCAUGUGUAUUUCAAAUAACUUUGCAAUUCCUUGUAUUGCAUUAUUCAGAUUUCCUAGUGUCUCACAGAAAAAUAAUUGAAACGCAACCAAAAGAUUUGCACACCAUUAUGGGGAAUACUUUGUUCUUCACAUUCUUUAUCUUGUUAAUAAAGGAUAAGAACGUGCACAUGUACAUCGCCCUCAAUUUUAUUUUCUACUUUCAAAUGUAGCUAUUUUUCACCUGUAAUAGGUUGUAGAUGUACCAACUUCUCAAUAACAGUAGAACUGAGGGGAAAAACAUAGAGCGUUAAAACAACAAGAAAAAAUAUUGAGUAUUUUCUGGUGAAGCAGAUUGUGUUAGAAACUAUCAUUCAAAUUCCAGUGAGAGCUGAGGACUUCCCAGAUCUCACAUUCUCAACACAGACUGUAGGGCUCACUGUUUCCUGUACUGCACAGUCCUGGGGAUGUUCUACAGCUACUGACAGCUAUAUUUGAAGUGCUGGAAGAUUUAAAGGAAAAUAACUUUAUAAGAACACUUGUAUUGUUCAUCUUAAUAUUUAAGCUAAAAUGUCCCUUGUUUUCUUGUGGGGAAAAAGAACAUGAAUGGAAAGAAAAGAGCAUGUGAUAGGUGCCAUCUGUUCUCUCUUUCUCUCCCCCUUGCUCUCCCCUCUCCCAUAUUUUUCCUUUAAAAAAUAUAUAUAUAUAUAUAUAUUUAUAUAUUUAUAUAUAUAUAAAUUGAAAUUGGUAACUGUGGUUACCUGCCAGGCCUCUUUCAGGGAACAAAGUGAGACAGAAGGGUAGCAGGACUGUGGGUUGCCUGAGGGCCUAGGGAUGAAAUCUCACUUCUGUGCUAGAUGGUCACAACUCUUGGCUAUUCAGUCAUGAGACAGCAAAGGCUUUCAAGGAUCAACAACAAAUUUAUGGUAAAGCAAAAGCAAGAAAAGAUAUGAGGAGUUUCCUGCAAGAGGAUAUUUCCAACAUGAGCUUGUCCAUCCACUGCUGCUGGAAAAGACAAAUUUGCAAAAUUUCAGGCUCUCAAUAGGUCAUCCGGUCUUCCUCCUACAAACAGAAUAUCUGCUCUGGUCCUGACAGUUGUUUGUCUAGUCAGUACUCAAAGAUCACCAUUGAUGGAGAUCAUUCUGCCUCCAGGCAAUCUGUAUUCUAUAUCUCUUUUCCUGAGAGAUUUUUCUUUGUAUGUGUCUUGAAUAUUCUGUGUAGCUGCUACUUGACCUAUUCACUGAGGACAUGGAAAAGAUUUUUUCUUUUUUCAUAAGGAGUUUGCAAGUCAACACACCUGAUGGUUUUUUUUGUUGUUGUUUUUUUGUAUCUUGCAUUUUUCAAUGUGUGAUGUGUACCAAUAAGAGCAAUAAUGGGAGUUCAGAUCUGAAAACAGUGCCUGACUCUACUGUACCAUCAAUUGUCAGCUGUGGAUGCUAAAAGACCUAAAAGUUUGAAGUUCAGACUGGAGUUCAGAUGGUGUAUUUUGGCUGGGGUCCAGCAUUACUAGAAAUCCAUCUUGACGUAGAGAGAGCAGCCGUAACAAGCUGGGCUGAUGGGCUGCCAGCCAGGCUCUUCUAAAGUAGUGGAAGAAACCUGUUUCAUGAGUUGGGUAUAAACUAUGUAACAGAGCCAGAGACAAAAUGCAUCCCAACAUUAAUGUCCAGGAUUACCAGCUGCUCACACAGCUUGUCUGGGGGCAUCCAGAAUGCCAGGAAACGCCUGGUAGCUGUUGUAUAUAGACAUAUUCUGUGAGGCACAAAGAAAUUGCAUCAAGGACUUUCAAACUACAAAACAUCAGAAAAUGCUACGAAAUACUUUUGGAAGUCAAAAACACUUUGAGGAGUAAUCUCGGCCUCAUAGGACAGCAUCCAUGAUGCUGGACACUUGGUUCCCAUUCCAGUUUUUGCCACUCAAGUAUGGAUGCAAAAUACAGAGGCAUAUUGUCUGCUGUCAUAACUCAUCUGCGAAGCAGAUGUUUCUUUUGGGGGAAUUAUUCAUGCUAAAGAUCACACUUCAAAGUAAACAAUAAUUGUCAUUUGUUGCCUGUUAAAAAAAGAAAAAAAUGAAAGCUGGAAAUCAAACUAAUGAGUACAUUUCCUCAAGGGAACAGACAGAACUGGGAAUAUGAUCAUUUUGCAAAGCUUCUGAUAAAUACAUAGGUUGCUCUGAAAGAAAUGCUGCUUUAUUUCUGUGGCAACUACACUGGAUGCAAAGAACACGAUAACACUGAUAGAGCACAUUUUCAGCUACAAAACACUUUUUCAACAUAGUCACCACCAUUAGCUGUGUAUUUUUGCCAACUAUGAAGAGGACUCUGCGUGCUGUGCACAAAAAAUUCUGCACAAGCAGAUGUGACCCACUGUUUCACACCUGUUACGGUGGCAUCACUGCUAGGAAAAUGUUGCCUAUGCGGUCCGUCUGAAUAGAUGGAAGUUGGAAGGCACCAAUUCCAACUGUGUGGUGGGACAGUCCAGCCAAGAUUGUCAAUGUGUUCCAUGGUCUUCAAACAGGUACAGGGCCUGGCAUUACUGGAUUGUGAGAGAAAUGUUGUCGUCUUCUCUGGCCUGACUCUAUUAGUUUGAGCCCCCAGCUCAGUGAGCAUUGUGAUGUAGCAGUCAGGAUCUGCACUCUACCUUAGCUUUGUGAACCCAGUUCUGGAUAUAACAUGUCUCAAUUUACACAGGCCAGGAAGUCUGCAAAGAGAGUAAGCUACAGUAGAUUUUCUGAUGAGCCACUGCUUUACAGCCUCCUGGUUAAGACUUCAUUUCAGGAAGCUAAUAUGACUUUAUAAAAACCAAAAGUAGCUGCAUUCGAACUUACUAUAUGGUUUAUCCCACAGGACAGUUCUCAACUACCUUGAGUCAAGUACAGGAUGAAUGGUGUUCUCUAAGAGUUCAUGAAUAACAUGGGAAACCAGACUUGUCAUAUGGUUCUGGGACUCAGACACUGUGUCUCUACUAAUAAGUUAAAUGGUGCCAAGGAACGUUCCCAGGAGCUGGACCCAGUCUGUCUGUCUGUGUAGCUGCACUGCCAGAGCGAUCCUUUUGCCAUAGAGAUGCAGACCUCUAUUUUGAUAUUUGAUAUUUUGGAUUUGCUGAAUGACCACAGCCAACAAAAUUAUUUCAUCAGCUAGUUUCUGACCUUUAAUAUCUGACCAUAUAUUUUAAAGUGUGAGAGAUACCUAUUUUACAUUUACUCCAGCUCCAUAAGGAAUGCUGUACGGACAGGAAUUCAGCAGAAAAUUUCCACUUAUUUACCAUUUACUGUCACUGAAAUUCAAGAAGUUAUUUCAAAAAAUGAGGAAAAAAUACUGUGAUUUCUACUAUUUGUUUCUUCUUGGAAGUUCCAUGGAUCAUUUAUCAAUGAACAAAAGGCUAAUUAAAAGGCUAGACCUAGUGCAAUUACUUUGAUGAACUUUGAGAGUGGUUGUUUAAUGCCAUAGCCUUCAUUAUGUUAUGCUAAAUAUGUUCUCUGCAAGUUUGCAUCCCAAAGAUGAUGCUGUUUUUGUUGGACUAGCUUGAGGAAAAAUGCUGUAUGUUUGAGCUCUUGGGAUGAGUGUCUUACUUGGAAGGUAGGAAGAAAAUGUUGAUGUUCUCUGGAUUUGUGUGUGUUAAAGCUGACAAUUCAAGACGUGUCUGUGGUAGUUUUAUUCCUUAGCUCCUAACAGAAACCUGUCUCCCUGAGCUGAUUCCAGAUUUAUAAGCACAGUGUGUACAUUGUUACAGCACAGAGCGCAGGAUAAUUAAACAGCUGCUUAGCACUGAGCUCCUUCAUUCUUCAAUAAGCAGAUGUUUUGUCUUGUUGCUGAUUUCAAACAACCCACGAUAACAUACUAUAUGCAUAGCAUUACUCAUAUUUUUAAUAUUUUGGUGCUUUCCUAUCCAAAGAUCAAAGCUCCAUGCCCCAUUACAUGAGGUUCUGCACAGGCCGUUAGCACAGAAGAGAUCUUAAGUGAGUGCCAAUCAGUGCGUCUCCACUGAAUCCAGGGGAGCAACAGCAGUUCGCGCUGGCUGACAUUUCCCUUGCAGAUGUCAGACGAGAUGCCAUGAUUUACAUACCAAUGGCGGUGAGUGGGAGGAUGAAGUAACAAGAGGAGCAGAAAUGUGCAGGGAUGCAGAAGUCGGAGCUUGCCAUUUGCCUUUCUCCUGCAGCUGAACAAUGGCAAUCUGAGUUAUUCAUUCCCAUCCACCUCUUAACAACAGGAUUCGCUUCUGAUGAUAUCUUGUGGCCUUUUGAGUAUGUUAGCAGAGGAACUAGAUUCUUUUCUGUAUUUGCCUUCUGUGUUAUCAGACACAAUAAGCAAUUCCCAAAAGGCAGAUGAGGUGAAUAAAGCAAAGUAUCAGGUUAAAUGAUGUAUAUUCCUUAUCCAUUUAGGAAGGUGUUUAUGCAUCGUCGUUUUAUGCUUUGUAUUUGCUGGAUUUAUGAGUGGCAUUUGUGUGCAGAGCCAUGAAAGCAGAUGGAGCCCCGAAGGAGGAGCCCUUCUAUCCCACCCAGUUUGUGGUCUCCCUGUCUGCUGCUGAAGCUGCUUCCUGGGGCAGUGCGUUCAGCUGCUAAGAGCGUGUAAAUAGAAGGAGAAAUAUUAUAAAUGUCAGGAAGUGGCAGCCAGACUGUUCCAAGGUUGCGUACUGCGUGCUUGUGAAGCAAGAUGGCCUGACUCCAUUAUCAGUGUUGUCCAUCAAACGCUGAUUUCCAAAGGUCUGUAUCUUCCACUUACUGAUAUUUCCAUUUGUGUACUUCACUGGGAAGAGUUUCAGACAAUGUUGAUAAUUUUGGACUUCCUGAUCCUUAGGAGGAAUAAAUUUGCCCUGCUAGGGAACGCACUGUUCCUAUCCCUAACUGAGUUAUACGCAUUCGUACGUAAUCUCAGUAUAACUAUAAUGGGAAUACAAUUUAUACUUUAAUUUAUGCUUGUUCUCUGGUUGGGAAAAUGCCCAUGAACUGUGAGGAAGCAGAUCUGCUUGUUCUAUAGAUAAACUGUUGUUGUAUGUGGUUCACAUCCUGCAUUUUUAUGUAUCGUUCCAAUUCCUCAGCUGUUUCCAAUUCAUGUACCUUUCUGAAAGUGAAUGAAGCAGCUGUGCCAAAUUCAGAGCCUGGCUGAGUCCAGCUUCAUGUCUGGAGGAGCUGAAUUUCCCAAGGCUGGUGCUUCACCAUUAACUGAUGCAGAAGAAAUUAGAAUUCCUCUUUCCCUUUCACAUAAUGGCAGAAUUCUGAAAUUAUUGUGUAACAUGCCCUUCCUCCCAUUACACGGUCUUCAUUCUGUUCACCAUUAUUUUUAAUAGACCAAUUUUCUCUCUUGCUUUUCAUCCACCGAGUCUUUACUAUUAUUAUCAUCAAAGUGUCUGUGGGCUGCCAGCAUUUGAUAUUUCAUUUCACUGAUUUAAUUAUGUCUGCAGCCUGUUCUGGGGCUGUUUAUUUUUAUAGAUCUCCGAAUCCUCUUCUUUAUCAAAUUGUUUACAUCUGAAUCCAUUUGUUCACUGUUUAUAUGUCACUUUGCAAUUGUAUCCUUUUGUACUUUGCAUUUGUUCCUGAGGGGUGUUUUAGUUUGAUCAAAUUUUACAACUUUGCAGGCAGACAACUAAAAGGAGAUCUUCCUAUCUAGGGGUGAAAGGCAGCUCUGGACACAGCUAACACCAUCUGCUUUUUCACUUUAUGCUUCCUGUGGGCAUAUGUGAGCAUGGAGCCACGUCUGUUACCAGCUAUUGGGAACUGACAGCUCAUGGGAAGCUGGCAGAGUGUUAGAUUAAAGGAAGAGAUGUUUUACACACCUUGCUCUUCCAUGUGCAGUUUACAUAGGGUAUAAAUACAUAGGUAAUGUAGGGUAUAUGUAAACAGGGUGUUUACUGAGCUUAGUUUAGUUUCCAAAGAAUGGAGGUUCUUUGGCUCUGGGCAGCCUGGUCUAGAGGCUGGCAACCCUGCCUGUGGCAGGGGGGUUGAAUAUAGAUGAUCUUUGAGGUCUUUUUCAACUUUUCAACCCAGGCCAUUCUAUGAGUCUGUGACGCUUUACUGCAGAGGGUUGCAGAAGAGGAUGACAGCUUUGAAUUUUGCUGACUGACCUCCUGUCACUGCAACUACUUUAGUAGUGGUGAUGCACGUAUGCGUGCACGUGCUGUAGUUCUGUUGAGUUUCUUGCUUCUACUAUAAUUAAGAGUCCAUAAAUAAGUGCUUCUAAUGCACUUGACUAGAGAAAGUAAUUGCUAUUUAAAUGGAUAAUUUAUUGUGUGCUAAUUAAAAGCCCAAUAGGUGAGAACAUUUUAAUGAAAUGUAACUUAACUCAAUAAGGAGGUUUUUAAUAAUCAUUAGUUGCCUGAAAUAUACCUGAUGCAGCAGUUCUCUAAUGACAAGCUCUAAUUGAUGUUUUUAACAUGUAUUUAUUGUGGAUAAAUUGCUAUUUUGUUGUAUAUCUCUCUUUCCCUGUCUUUCAAAUGCACAGCUUCCCAGCUGGAGGCCCCAUUGUGCCUUAUUACAGUCUAUUCUUCCCUGCUUUGGCAACCCCUUUUGCUGGUCAACUCAUCUCAGUUACACUCGCAUGAAGCAGGAUGUGAGCAAACAGAUGUGGGGAGCUGCCAGUUUCUACCAAAGAAAAGGUGCUAGCUUUUAAUUUCAGUUGACUAUUAGAACGUACAGUAGAGAUCUGCCUUCUUUCCCUGUUUGACUUACAGUAUGAGGCAAAGAAACCCUCGAAGUGUCCAGGGUUCCAAGUGCUCAUCUUAGAGCAGAAUGAUUAUGCAAAAAUGGUAAACCUCAGUGUCUCUAGGUAAUAAAUUUCACUUUCAAAGAAGGAAGCUUAAGAACAGGCUGGAAAGUGAAUGUGCCUCACACAAUGGAGCAGCGUGCCAGCUUUGUUUGAAUUGAGCAACCUGGAAGAAUCUGAGCUGGGAACAAGUAGCAUCUGAUUUAAGGACUGAGAGAGUAGAUGGCUGAUUUUCUUCGCAAAAAUAGCAUGAGAAAGCUGUACUGACCUUUCCAGGAUGAGAGGUAAUGGCUUAAAUUGCCCCAAGGGAGGUUCAGGUCAGAUAUCAGGAAGAAUUUCUUCUCAGAGCAAUGAGGCAUUGGCACAGGCUGCCCAGGGAAGUGAUGGAGUCACUGUCCCUGGAGGUGUUCAGGAGAAGCAUAGAUGUGGCACUGAGGGACCUGGUUUAGUGGACACGGGGGGGAAUGGGUUCGUGGUUGGACUGGGUGAUCUUAGUAGUCUUCUCCAGCCUUUAUGAUUCCAUAAUUUCACUGUGCUUUUCUGGUGUCUUUUUCCAGCACUGGGCAAUGACUGUUCUUAUGUUUCUGAGAAUUUAAAGAAUGGUCUUCUGAGACUGAAAUGCACAGGACGUAGAGCGGAGGCUGUUAGUAGCUCUGGUGGGAUGGGGUAACCCUUAAAAAGUCACUGCACUUUCCUGGGCCUCCUUUUCCCCCACUGUUAAAUGGAGAUAACUACAUGUUUCCUUCAUGAAGCCAUUUGGUAUGUCUUGUUGAAAAAUCUAUAUAUAAGUGUUCAUCAUUUUUGUCACUCAGGCACUGAUAUAGGAAUUUCUGGAGCACUCCUACAUGUUGAGAAUCACACUGAUACUGUGGAUGAGAAUAUUAAAUUCUGGUGCUGAACCUGGCUAAUUUGAAAAUGACGUAUUUUUCUAGAGUGAUGCCUCAGAUGCAUCUUAUAUAAGAAAAUGAAUUACAUUUAUAGCUAGAAAGGACUGCAGGAUUUUAUGAUCAUCUCAGCACUCCUGUAUUUAGUAAAUUAUCUUGUGUUUGAUUAUGACAGGGUACCUCUUGGCUUAUGUCAAAGUUCUUGUUUCCUGGAGUUCUCCCUGUUUCCUGGAAACUAAACUCUGGUGGAAAGCAUUUGUUACUUUGGUUGUUUUUUUUUCUUUUUCUUUUUUUGGUCUGAUUUGUUUGUUUGGGUUUUUUUUUUUUUUUUUUUGUCUUUUAAGUCUAAACAACCCAUUGGUCCUACAGCUCUUUGGUUCCUGCCACUGAAAGGAGAUACCCAUAGAUUAAAUAGUUAAAUAUGAAACCCCCUUGGGGUUUGAUCUGAUGAAGAUGAUGCUUAUUUAGAGAAGGAGCAAAUACUUUAACAAGUACUAUCCUGAUGAACUAUCUAACUUGACUUCUGAGAAGUAACUAUUAAAUGGAGAGAAGAAACCAUGAAAUGUAAGAGCGAGUUUGAAUGCUGGUAUCAUAAUCUGAUCGUAGUCAUGCAUCAUAAUUAAAUGUUAAUUUAAUUGUGGGCUUCGGAUGUCAUGUUUGGAAUUCUCAGUUUCAAUCCAGUUUUUAUUAAACAAUGAAGAACCUUCUGAAGGAUUCAGAAUAACAGUUCAACAAAUCAAGUCAACAAACAGGGAUCCACUUUAAGGUAAGAAAGAGAAAAUAGUGGGCAAAAGCUGAUAGAGUGCACUGGAUGCAGGCAGAAUAGUCAGAGGAAAACCAAUAGGGCAUGAUUUGGAGAGACAGUAUCUUUCACACAACCAAUAGCAUUUGGAGAAAAUGAACAAGCUUUCAAGCACUUAAAUGCUUCCGCAGGUCUGGCAAAGAAAACAAAAAACUUGAAGCUUUGUCCGUCCUGUAAAGAAAUUAGCGUUUAACUUAAGAUAAUCACCUGGACAAUUAGGGAGACAAAAAGGUGAACUCCUUAGCCAUAACGGAGCAUCUGGGGAUACAAACAAAAAGUCAAGAGUUAAUGUGCCCCUGCAAGCCAGAGAGAGAGGGAGUGGGAGCUUAGAAAGAGCUCUUGGGAAAGGUGGGUACCACCAAACCGUUGCCUCUGCUGGCUCCACGGGUUUUAGUGCCUGGGAGAACUCUGAAUUUAAUGUCCCAAAUAUUUGAGUAGUGUCCUCUGGGGCAACUGGUACAUUAGGACUCAGAAAAUUAAUUGCCAGACUUGCACCUAAUUGUACAACAAAGCAGUAAACCAAUUCUGGAAAACCACAGUGAGGACUAAUUCAGAAGUGUCUUAACACAGAAUACGAAGAACGUUCUUUCCUCCUCUCAGCUCCAGAUUUCUACCCCAAAUGUUAAAGAAGAAACCUUAAACUUGUCUGAAUUACAAGCAAAACUGUCAGCCUCCCUCAAAAUGGGGAAAGAAAGUACUUCUGAAAUGCUUAUGCAUUAUAUAACAUGUACCCAUAUAUCAUUUAUACGGACAUUAGCAACUUGUGUUAUUUCCUCAUUUUGGAGGUGAUGCAUUAAAAGUGAAAAUGCCACUACUGCCAUUUUCUUCUUACAUAAAGCAGCUUUGUGUCUACAGUGCCUGUGUGCAGAUCUUCUCCAUGAUUUUCAAAAAGCUGAUUGAAGGCCAUUGCAGUAGCUUGGGUAGGGUGGCCAAACAGAUGAAGAUGGCAUAUAAAGAGCCUGGUUGGCAGCAAUGCCAAUUUCAUGCACAUGCCCUGCCUUGAUUAAAGUAGAGAUGUUUGCAUAUGUCUUGUGUCCAAAGGCAUUUUUGAUGCACAUCUCCUGCUGAGCCAGCAAAGCUCCUCUCACGCCUAUUGCUUUUGCAUAGCAGAUACACAUUAAUGGAAGCAGUCAGAGCAUGCAUCUACCUGGUUCAUAAUUUGCACAUCUCUGGAAAUAUCCUUAAAAUGCAGACGAAGUUUAAAAAGAAAUAGUAGAGAGUUGCAAAAAAUCCAGAUUAACAGUUGAAAGUUGAAAUAGUUUAUCCUCUUACACAGGGGUAUUAAUUACAAAGCGUAUCUUCAGUCUCAUUUGCAGAGUUUCCCUUUCGCUAUCUGGAACCUGAAGCAGUAGAUUAAUGAGAGAGGCUGGGAAGGUGCCACCUUGUAAGGAGCUGCAUGGAAACGAACCACUUAAAAGGCACAAACAAGUUUUAUUGCAACUGUCAAACCUAGGAACCAUGUAAUGUCCUACUAUAGAAUAUACUGUAACUAAUGAACUAUUUACACACAUUUAUUGUGCUGUUGUGUUUUGUUUUCAGAUGUCCAUAUGUAAGAAAACAUUUUGAAUUUUCUGCUAAAGAUAUCCAAAUUAACAUCUAAAGGAGUUUUUCCCCCCUUUUUAUAUUGUCUCUGGGUUAUAUGGGUGCUGCGAGGCUGCUCAGCCCAUUCUGUAGAGAUUCCUGCAUAAAUGUUAUUAAUAGAGUGCAGGAGAGGAUGAUAGAUAUGAGUCUUACAGAAAUGAAGCUAAUACUGAGACUCACUGUUUUCAUUUCCUUGUGCUUUUGCAUUUCAAUUUCAUAGCACUGAAACUCUUGGUGGGCAUAGUGUAGAUGGAUGGGUUGAUGGUGGAACUGGAAGAUCUUGGUGGUCUUUUCCAACCUUUAUGAUUAUUUGACUCUGUGACUUCAGAGAGGACAAAACACCACUCCUAUUCACAAUGAAGGAGCCACCUCCGAUAGCAAGGCUUUGCCACCACCGCGGGACACCGAGUGCCGUGAGCGGUGCUGAACUGAGCAAUGAGGAGGAGAUGGCUGCACACAUAGCAUGGAAGCUUUGACUUUAUGGUGUCUCCAACUCAGAAAAGCCUGCUUGUGGACCCAAAGCCCAGAGGAGAUACUUGCUAUAACUGCCUAUAAAAGGAGAACGUGAGGGCAUGCUGUCAUCCAGCACAAGUCUCACCUAUCAAAAAGGAAAAACGUACUGAACUGAGGGAUCCAGCAUGGAACGAGAUGACAGGUGAGGCACAGCAACACAAAUAGGCAGCAGUGAAUUGGACAAAUCUGCCACCUGCAAGCAGAGAGCAUGAGCUCAGCUAGUGCAAGAAUCUGGUGGCUCUGUGCUGCCCUGCUGGAAGGUCUCCUGACGCCUCCGGACUCCUGCUUCCCUGUAACCACUCCAGUCUCUUCCUGUCACAAUGAAAUCAUUCCUGCUGCAGUGAAGGGAUUAAUUAGGUCUACCAGUACUUCACUACCCUCAAUCCUAACUGAAAAUCAGACAGCUUUUCCUGUUUCGCACGUCUGUGCUCAGAGAUGUGACUGACCUAACGCUUGGCACCUUAGAAAAAUCAUGCCCCAGUGUGGAUCAAGACUCAGGAAACAAAUCCUCUCCAUAACUGCGCAGAGCAGGGCAUAAGCUAAUGCCAGAAUGAUGUGAUGCUUGACGCUUUGACCUUGCUUUCUGUGCAAGACUCUCCAAGCUUCAUACCACUGGGAGCGCAUCAUUUGUGACGAGCAAAAAAGUCAGAGCAACUGGUUCUUAAAAGAUUUGUCAUAGUUUUGCUUUAAAAAUAAUUCAUCUCAUAGCUGAAUUCAGUAUUUUGGGUCAGUUAUAAUUGAAUCUGCUCAGACAGAGAAGUUAUAUGAGACUAAUUACCUACUGUCUCUACUCGAAGUAAAUAUUAAAGGCAAGAAAAAUAAACAUGGGCUGAAGUGUGAUAUGCAAAUCACAUUGAUAACUAUCAGGUUAAGACCAUGAAUUUAUAUUCUUUUAAUCAUUAUGAGGUUUAGAUGGUAUCUCCAGCAAAGAAAAGUCAGUAUGAUGGUAUAUGACUGUCUAUGAUUUGGUCCCUAAUUGCAAACAACAAAAAUACAUUAACCUGCUUGUAUCCUGUGUCUCAUUAUUGUCAUAAAAAUGAUAAGAAAAUUCCUUCUUUGUGAAAUCCAAGCUGCUUUACUCUUUUCAAGGACUGCUUUUGUAAGAAAGGAGAGUAAGGCUUAGGUCACUUAUACUGAAUAUAAGGUAGAGGGAGAUGUUUCAGAAGCAGAGCACUUUAAACAUCUUUAUUCCUACCAAAGUUAAUAAAGUGAAGCCAAUUCUGAGCACUUCUUCAAGCUGCAAUGGAUUUGCUAUUAGUUUUCCUGCAUGAAAAUAUGAUGAAGAACAUAAUUGGAGAAAAGAUAGUUCGAGAAAUAACUUCACAAUGGCAUUACUCUCAAAGAAAAGACAAAAUCAAAAUAUCCUGGGUCUGGUUAAGGCAGGCAAGGACUUAAAAUGAGACUGGGCAUGAAAGGGAUGGAGAAAAGAAUGGGGUGUAAGUUAUGACAUUUUCACCUUUUCAUAUGCAAAUUCUUGAUGAAAAAUCCUUAGAAAAAGAAGCUAGAGUAACUUUCAAAGAUCAGAACUACCUUCUUUUCCUUUUCUCCUUUUUCCUUUUCCUUCCUUUUUUUAACUUUUUUUUUUUUUUUUAAACUUUUCUUCUCUGUUCCUGCAGGGAAGUGUUUAUAGGGACACAUGAGAUCCUGACAGACAUUUCCACUGACCCUCUUACAUGAGAUUUGGCUCAACCGCUCUCCUCUAAGACGGUCUGUGAUUUUGGCAGCCCGAGGCCCAGGGUCCCUUCCAGGGCUGCUGGGCCUGCAGCCACCAUACUGACAUUGGCCCCUUGUAACUGGGAACAGUUAGUGGGAGCUCCUAAAAAUACACAGAAGCAAACAAGGAGCUAAUGCUGCUGCUUUGUGCUCAGAGAAGAUGCAUUAUUCAUACAGUACAUAGACAAAAUAGAGAGAAGAUGCCUGGCAAAGCCCCCAGAAUGGCUUAGUUACCCUCGAGUAAAAACUUCUAUUUGUUGAGUAGACUCCAUAAAUAUAGCAGGACUCCUGAAAUGUCCAGAUGUUUCUGAGCAGAUGAAGAAUGUUCUCUUUCUGAAAGCUUACUGAAUUUUUUAUUAUCUCAUGCACUGUUUGCGUGGGCAGGUCUUCUGAGUGAGUCAGAGCAAACAGCAAUCACUGCUGCAGGUAUCCAGCGAGAGAGGACAAUUCCUUAACCUGGGAGCUCCUAAAGAGGUCCUAACGUGCAGAGUGCUGAUACAUACACAGAAAAUAAUCACUGAAUCAAUGAGCUAAACUUCUCUGAGGGACCUUAACGUAGCCGUGCUGUAAAGAAAGGAUUACUUAGCAUUGAUAGCCAUGCCCUCAGAUAUAGCCGUGGUGGUGUGCUCUCAGGCACACAGACCUCGCUCUUCCAUGGGAGACACAAUGCCAUAGGAAGAUUCUGGAGUUAAGGCAGAUAUUGAGUUAGCCCUCUCUAUUGAAUUGGAGUUUUUGCAGAUGGGAAAUAGUUUCUUCUCCAUGGUAAUUCUUUAGUAAUGCCGCUCCACUUGGACCAAUUUAAACUGGAAGAAAAAGGUCUGCCUGUGAUAUCUCUGCCUCAGUAGGACAGCAUGACCAGAUUUAUAUCUUUACCUUGCAUUUUUGUCCGGAGGGCUUACGCUUUCAUCUGAUUAUGCUCUCUCUUGUGAGAUUCUCUCUAUGCUUAAAAUAGAAAAUACCACUAACCCCAGGACUGCUGAUAGGGCCGGAGUGCCUCCAAACAGCAGUCUUCUGCGUUCACUCUCCCUUACACCAACCCUGCAUCUUCUCUAUUUCUGCUACUACCACCAACUUAGUGCCAGCCAUAUGUAUUUAAGGGGUUGAGCUGGCUUCCUUGACUUGAUAAUCAAUGUGUGAUUAUUUUGUGGUUUUCCAUGUGGAUUUUAGUUUCUCCAGUUCCUGCUUCUAUUGCACACUAAAGAUUUCAUUUACUCGAAUGCUGCUUUUGUAUGCUUUCUUUAUGGAGCAUAAAAGAACCUAGAAUGAUUUUUGAGUGUGUCUAUACGCUUGUUAUAUGUAUUUGUUCAUGCUUUUCUGAAGCUACACACACCUGCACGUAUAUAUGUAUUUACAUUCCUGUAACUGUGUGUAACCAAAAUGAGAUGAUGAGCUGAUGAAGACCACCAGCAAAUAAUAUAAAAUAAUAUAGUAGUGCAACCUUAAUGCAGUGUUCAGAGUUGCACCUUGACUCCAGCCAGGACUGAUCAGACUCUGCUUAGUUCUGAAACAUCAGUCACUGUGUAUGACAGCCUCCCUCACCCCUUCUCUCCCUUUGCUCUUGUAAUGCAUCCUUGCAUGUAAGCCAGCUUGAGCAGCUGGAAGCUUGACUGCAACCUAACCCCAUUUUGAAUCAUGCCCAAGAUGCAACAGCCAGAUUUCUUACUGCACUAUUUUAAAGCAUAGAUGCAAGAGGCAUCGGCAUCUAUGUUUUGUGGCCCAGCAAAUGUCAUGGCAAGGCAAGUGGGAUGGAUGGCUCCUCCCCAGGUGCAGGGUUGCAAAUCCAGUUCACCCCUUCCCUACCCCUCAAGCCAUGUGGCAGGCUGUCUGGAAGCAUAGCAUUGUUCAUCACAUUAAUGUUCAGCUGUCGUGGAUGUGAAGAGGAAGUCAAGGGCUCACAGAACAGAAGAGAUGGACAGAGCAGACCUUUGAGGAGGAACAGCUUUGCAGCUUAGCAGUCAGCACACGACCUGGGGAAAGCCAACAAGGAGCUGGGAGCACUUCUUAGACACACAACAUUAAAAAGCUGUUACGUAAAACCCAGAAACCAUGCAGGGUCAAGAGGCAGGACCUGAAGUUUCUCUUGCCAGCCCUGUGCUCACCUUCAUCUUCCCUGCAUCAUCACUGAUAGCUCUCCUGUCUCUGUGCAGUAAGGUGCCCUUGCCAGGAUAUCUGUCAUUUUCAUCAGUUCCCAUCGCUCAGCUCUUCAAAACUUCCUACUAGUGUCAUUUAGGCUCUCUCCUUCUCAUUGGCUCCUUCUAGCUGCUAACAUAUACCAGCAAUUUUCACAGUCGCCUGCUUUCCAUCUGUUACAGUUUCACUGAUGUUUUUUUGUCUGACUUCCUCUAUGAUCUCAGCUUGCUUUUGUUGAAGUUAUACACUUUUCCAUCCUUGCUGUGAGUUUUUGGAUUUUUAGGCAUCAAAUAAAAAAUCUCUAAACAGUUCUUAACCACAUUUCACCCUAUUUCAGUUACAUCUCACAGAUGAUUCAAUUCAUAACAGCUUUCGGUUUGGUGACUUCAGAGGUACACAGAUAAUUGAUUGGGAUUUUUUCCUCAUGGUAUAUAAUGAAUGUAAUCCAGUCACGCUCUCUUGCACCUUAAGUAUUUCCUAACUUCCAGGCACGUGGUCAGUCCUUAAGCAGUAGUGCUCCCAGCUCUGCCAGCAACACUUUAAAAUGCCCUUUAUAAUUUCAAACAGUUCUGAUGCUGGAGUAUCCCAGCACAAGCCCUCCUGCACCUGCCAGACCCUUGCCAGCCCACCUGAAAGCUCCCCUCCCAGAGCAACAGGAAAGGAGCUCCAUUUCCACUUGGUUGUGCAGUUUCCCUGUCCUCAGCCAAGGGGAUCCUUCACCAUGUGUGCUGACCCUCUGGGCUGUGAACCUGCUUCAGUGUUGUCUCCCUCUAAGUGGGCCACGGAACUUUGAUUCUAGCAUUUGCUGCCCUCUUGUUUUUACGCUUUCCAAAUCAUCGUUACUGCUUUGCACAUACAAGUUAUAUGAAGCUUUUGGGUUUCAGUGGCAGAAAGGCCAAGUAUAUGUUCAUAACCGAACAGUUCCAGUUCUUUGGCAAUUUAGAACACCUCUUUCAGUCCCUUGGUGUCCUGACCUCACAUGGAGCUGAUUCAAAUUUUUAAUUCAUCCCGUGGCUAAAAGCUUCUUGUCCUCAGUGGCAGAAUGGUUAGAAGGCAUUUCAAGAUUGCCUGAAGACAACCGCAUUCAGGACUACUCUUUGGCAGGGAACAUCUCAAGUCAUGCAUCCCUCACGGCCCUGUCUCCAGAGUUCACGCUUGGUAUGCCUACACUUGAGAGAGGAGCUGCAGGCCCUCAGGGUUUUCUUUCAUCACUAAGGACAAAGGCAAGAGAUGCCAAGCAGCAUCAGAAGAGCCAAUCACAGUGCUAUGAACAAAAGGUCCCCUAAUGCCUUGGAUAAGACCAGCAAUUUCACAGUCUGCAGAAGGGAACGACUGAGGAAAUUCUGUGGAAUUCAGUAGAAAUCCUGAACAUUUUUCAUUACGAUAAUAAAAGAAACGAAGCGUUAAGUGGGAAGGAAAGGUGCUGAAGGCUACAAGAAAAGCAUUGCCUGCUUUACCAGUAACAGUGGUUCUGAGCAGUAGGCCUAGGUGCCUAGAGAAAAAGGAGCGUGGGCUUCGCUGAGAGGCCUACAAUGGCACCGAGGAGCCUUCAGAGAUGAAUGGCAGCUGAUUUCCCACAGAUCGAUGAUUUCCUGAGACAGAUUUCAUUCUGAAGCAGCGAACACAAAAUUUACAUAGCCAGAGUAUUUUUUACUGAAGUGAAAAUUGAAACAGCUAAACUGUGUUUAUGCAUGUGUAUGCAUAUGUAUCAACUUUCCUUCCUCACUUGACAUGAUUGCAAAAGAAAUUUCCAUCCUGACUUUUCACACCCACAUGGGUACAGGAAGAAGAAAUUUAAAGGUUGCUUGAAUUUAUGUAUCCACUGUGAAAUUCCUGAGUACUGAAAAGUACAUGUUGGUGAGGAGAUAUGAGUGCUGUGUAAUUUACUGUGUGAGUGCUUCCAAGUGAAAUGUUACUGUACAUCACAUCGCACUUCUUACUGAGUGGGAGUUCACCUUGCUUAUCUUUGGCCAAAGUUUUGCAGUGACAUUCGCUGUGCAAAACCUACCCUUUACCUUAGCUAAGUGGUGCUAUAGAAGCAAUAGUUAGCAGCUGGAAACACCUAAACAGCAUGGAGCAAUUUCCUGUGUUUAACAGACAAGAAUGUAAUUUUACCUAUAUAGUUAUUUGUUUCAAUUUUAAGUUAUUCAUUGGAAUCAAAUCAUGAGAAUAGAGUACUUCCAGUAAUUUCCUCAAUUAGGAAAUGAAACGUGAAAUUCUUAAAACCAGUUUUACAAUAAGUAGUGGAGGAGAUGCUCAAAAAACCUCUGACUGAGACUUAUUCAAUGCCAGAGAUACUCAGAAUGGGCUUUAAACCAUAAAAUUCACACGUUAACUUGAAUUUCAUUUCUGACUGGUUGGCAUGACUGGCUUAUCACCAUGUCUGUGUGUUUGCAUGUCUAAGUGUAAAUAAGUGCAUUUUCCUUGCCUUAUAAAGACAAUGUCAUAGAUUUGACUUUUCUGCCUUGGGCAGCAAGCCCCACAGAUGAUUAUAUGGGGAUAAAACAUAUGUCAAAGAAAAUGUUUCUUAGCUCUCUUGAAUGCAGUGCCAAUUAUGUCAGGCUAGCUCUUACUGCUUUAAAUUAAAACCAUACUUCAUCUCAGAAUUAAUUUAAUUUUCUGGAAUAAAUGCGCUUAAAAAAUCCAACUUGGAUUCUCCAAAGGAUAAGGGUCAGCUAUUCAGGGCAUCUGAAGAAUAGCAUAAGAGUCAUAUUCAGGCAGCCUAAAUUCAACCCGAAUCACUGUGCUCAGGAUUUCUUAUCAACCUGCUGUAAGUCUGUAGAGCACAGGGACUAUUCGACUCCUGGACCGAGAUGGAAUUUAAAUCCUGGAUAUUCAGCAAACCAUUUCCUAAUUCUUUAUGUUACUGAAGGAAGUGACCCUAGCAAGACUUGAUAGGCAUUAAAGGGUGGCCUAUUUAAACAAAGGGCAGCCCUCAGUUGUCAGUGAUUUUCACUAGUCUUAAAAGAGGAAAACAAUCCUUAUAUCUAUUGAAAAUCUACUUCUGGAUCUGCCCCCUAAAACAGUAUUAUCAGAAAGAUGUAUUUCCCUUGCUUUUGUAAUGCAAAGGAAUCAUAGACAUCUUUGCUUUAAGAGGCAAGAAAGGUAACUAAUUCUAUACUGUCAAAAAUUUUAUCUUUUGAAAAGUAGGGUGAUGAAUCAUAGCCAAAAAAAAGCCCCGUGGCCCCGGCUCCAAAAACCAAACAAUCCAGCAAAAAUAAAGAACAAACCAAAUCCUAUUGGUUUGUCAUCCAUCUGUGUUUCAAACAAUCAGAAACAACAGCAUCACGUAUCUUCUGGUCUAUACCUCCCUGGCCAUUCUAAUUAAUACUGGCUCAAGGCAGUAUUUAUUUCUUAGCUCGUGAGAUAAUAGGUUAUUGACUGACCUGUGAGGUAAUAGCCAAUUCUGUGUCUCACGUAGGAAGUGAUUGUGUGGAUUGAAGUUUGCCAUUGAUUUUGCUUCCAUACACUCAGGGGGACCAUCUAUAUAACUGUCACAUAAAUAAGAAGAAAAGGCCCUUAGUGACAUUUACUGACUUCUGAAGAUUCCUCACCUGCAUCCACUUGACAUUACUGUGGCCAGACCAAAAACCCACUGAACUCACCACUAACUUCAGUGCAGUUCACCAGACCUUCCUUAUAUGAAGCAGGGAAAUAGGAAGAGCUGACAACCUGAAGUCAUGGACUGGUGCAACAAUAAUGUAGAUUCUACAUCUUCUUCAUCCUGUGCUAUUUGCCAUCUCCUAACUGCACGGAUUCUGAGGACCCAUGAGAAGCAUGAAAUAUCUGUAGUGGUAUCUUAAAGGACUGAAAAAAAGCAGAGAGAGAUUAAAAUCAGAUACCAGUGGAGCUUUAAGUGCAAUGAAUUGAAAGGAAAUAAGGAAAGGUGAGCAUACGAUCACAAACACAGAACUUGGUACAAUUUAGGAGCUCCAUUCUACUGAAAGCUUCAGGAGUAGACAAACUGGUGUCACUGCAGAAUAUUUGGUAAAAAAGUACUUGUUUCAUCUGUAUCGUUUUGGUUAUUCAAAAUCAUAAACAGUGCCUUGGAGAGCAGAACGAGGAUAAAUAGAAAAGUUUCAGCUUUUCUGAAACACGUAUUUCUGUAAUGUGCUUCAGAAAGAAGGAGGUUUCAGUGAGUCAGUGUGCUGCUGCAAGAGUUGGAGUUCCUCUGGUAAAUUUUUGUCACGGUGGUAAUUGCAGAAAUAAGCAGUUCCUCCACCACUCACCCAUUUAUACCUCUCUCAAUAUUAAAUUAACUAACUCCCUUUUGGGAGCCAUUUGGAGAAUGAUCAGCAAAAACCAAACGCAGAAAAUUACUGAAAUCUCUGUUGCAUUCUUCUGUUGGUAUUACUGGGAAAUAUCAUCCGUUUCUUCUGGCCAGUGAUUUUCCCAGAUGCACAGAUCAUUUGCUGGCUGCCCUGCUUAGACCCAUGUCCUGUCUAAAGCCAAAGCUUACAAAGGCUCUUUGAAAAGUCUUUUUGAGACGGUGUGCUGGCUAAUUAAACAUUUAUUAAACAUCAUAGUAGCUUGAGAAUUAAUUUCACCUUCCUGUUUCUCAAGCCUCAGCUCUUUUCUAAGCUUUGACUGUACCCCUGACUUCAGCUGCUUGCCUGGCUUGGUUAGGAUUUCCCAGUUUGCUUGUACACCUGUGUGUCAUUUGCAGGGAAGAUGCUGCUCAUUAAGAUACACGAUGGGGAUCUUAAAAGGCAUUCAUUUAUUUGACAAAAAGGCAUAUUGGAACAGUACUACUAGGUGGCACGUGCACCUUGUUUUUAUUAAGUCACGUAGUAGGGAAAAAAUUAAUAUAAAAUCCAAGGAGAACAUUGAAAGCUAAUUUGCCUUAAGGUACAGAAGCUUCUGAAAAACUGCUAUUUUUUAUUCAAAUAUUACAGGGACAUAGCAUUUUUAUUCUCUCAUUUAUGUCAUUUAGGAUAGCUAAUGAUAUAUUAUUACACGACCCAAAGCCAGCGUUGCGUUCUCUUCCUUGUAUCUGGUACUGCUUUUCCAACUACUUUGUUCCACCCAAACCAUUUCAGAUACAGUCUCAAUUACAGAAAAUAAUAGGAUUCCUGAGGAGGUGUAAAUGCAUACCGUGGCAUGGCUGUCCUGCACUGAAAUAGCUGAAGAGCCUUUCUGCAUUUCCACAACAUGGGCUGAGGGUGCUCACGUGCCUUCCAUAGAACAAUCUUCAAGGAUUUUGUGCGACAUCAACGUGCUAAAUACUAUCUGCCUGAACUGGGGAGGAUGUCUCACAGUUUAAUUGAGCACAUUCAUUACAAUUGCCAAGGAAGGACCAAUAUCUGCUUUCUUUUCCUGUGAAUUCAAUACAGACCCAACAGCAACUGUAAGAUCAAAUCCCAAGGCCAGGUAUGGGGCAUUUGUUAUAUGAUAUUGAAUUUUUCAGCCAAGGCUUGAGCAGGUCAUGCUAAUUAAUGAAGAAUUUUCAGAUGGAUGCCCAUGAUUUCAAUGAAGCCAAUGCUUUUGGGAAAAAAUAGUCUGCAACGUCAAAAGAAAUUGGUUCUAUUUUGUCAGAAUAAAUAAUUUAAAUGAAGUACACAGUAUUUGUAACUUGACUGGUAUCCUGUCUAUU